UUGCUUUGGCAGCACACAUACUAAAAUUGGAAUGAUCCAGUGAAGGCUACCAUGGCCCCUGUGCAAGGAUGAUGUGCAAGUUCAUGAAAUGUUCCAUAAUUUU